UUAGCUAGUUGGCGGGGUAACGGCCCACCAAGGCGACGAUGACUAGGGGAUCUGAGAGGAUGACCCCCCACACUGGUACUGAGACACGGACCAGACUCCUACGGGAGGCAGCAGUAAGGAAUAUUGGUCAAUGGAGGCAACUCUGAACCAGCCAUGCCGCGUGCAGGAAGACAGCCCUCUGGGUCGUAAACUGCUUUUAUUCGGGAAUAAACCACAUUACGUGUAAUGUGCUGAAUGUACCGAAGGAAUAAGGAUCGGCUAACUCCGUGCCAGCAGCCGCGGUAAUACGGAGGAUCCAAGCGUUAUCCGGAUUUAUUGGGUUUAAAGGGUGCGUAGGCGGCUUAUUAAGUCAGGGGUGAAAGACGGUGGCUCAACCAUCGCAGUGCCUUUGAUACUGAUGAGCUUGAAUACACUAGAGGUAGGCGGAAUGUGACAAGUAGCGGUGAAAUGCAUAGAUAUGUCACAGAACACCGAUUGCGAAGGCAGCUUACUAUGGUGUGAUUGACGCUGAGGCACGAAAGCGUGGGGAUCAAACAGGAUUAGAUACCCUGGUAGUCCACGCCCUAAACGAUGAAUACUCGCUGUUAGCGAUAUACAGUUAGCGGCUAAGCGAAAGCGUUAAGUAUUCCACCUGGGGAGUACGCCCGCAAGGGUGAAACUCAAAGGAAUUGACGGGGGCCCGCACAAGCGGAGGAGCAUGUGGUUUAAUUCGAUGAUACGCGAGGAACCUUACCCGGGCUUGAAAGUUAGUGAAUCAUUUAGAGAUAGAUGAGUCCGCAAGGACACGAAACUAGGUGCUGCAUGGCUGUCGUCAGCUCGUGCCGUGAGGUGUUGGGUUAAGUCCCGCAACGAGCGCAACCCCUAUGUUUAGUUGCCAGCACGUUAUGGUGGGGACUCUAAACAGACUGCCUGUGCAAACAGAGAGGAAGGAGGGGACGACGUCAAGUCAUCAUGGCCCUUACGUCCGGGGCUACACACGUGCUACAAUGGAUGGUACAGAGGGCAGCAAGCUGGCAACAGCAAGCGAAUCUCAAAAAGCCAUUCACAGUUCGGAUAGAGGUCUGCAACUCGACCUCUUGAAGUUGGAUUCGCUAGUAAUCGCGUAUCAGCAAUGACGCGGUGAAUACGUUCCCGGGCCUUGUACACACCGCCCGUCAAGCCAUGGAAGUUGGGGGUACCUAAAGUAUGUAACCGCAAGGAGCGUCCUAGGGUAAAACCGAUAACUGGGGCUAAGUCGAAACAAGGUAGCCGUACCGGAAGGUGCGGCUG
rnacentral:rRNA from 1 species